UACGGAGGGUGCAAGCGUUAUCCGGAUUCACUGGGUUUAAAGGGUGCGUAGGCGGGUUGGUAAGUCCGUGGUGAAAUCUCCGAGCUUAACUCGGAACGCCGUGGAUACUAUCAAUCUUGAAUAUCGUGGAGGUAAGCGGAAUAUGUCAUGUAGCGGUGAAAUGCUUAGAGAUGACAUAGAACACCAAUUGCGUAGGCAGCUUACUACACGAUCAUUGACGCUGAGACGCGAAGCCAGGGAGCGA
rnacentral:rRNA from 1 species